rnacentral:rRNA from 1 species
CCAGACUCCUACGGGAGGCAGCAGUGAGGAAUAUUGGACAAUGGUCGGAAGACUGAUCCAGCCAUGCCGCGUGCAGGAUGAAGGUCUUAUGGAUUGUAAACUGCUUUUGUAAGGGAAGAAUAAGGGCUACGCGUAGUUUGAUGACGGUACCUUACGAAUAAGCAUCGGCUAACUCCGUGCCAGCAGCCGCGGUAAUACGGAGGAUGCGAGCGUUAUCCGGAAUCAUUGGGUUUAAAGGGUCUGUAGGCGGGCUGGUAAGUCAGAGGUGAAAGCGCUUAGCUCAACUAAGCAACUGCCUUUGAAACUGUUGGUCUUGAAUGGUUGUGAAGUAGUUGGAAUGUGUAGUGUAGCGGUGAAAUGCUUAGAUAUUACACAGAACACCGAUAGCGAAGGCAUAUUACUAACAAUUAAUUGACGCUGAUGGACGAAAGCGUGGGGAGCGAACAGGAUUAGAUACCCUGGUAGUCCACGCUGUAAACGAUGGAUACUAGCUGUUUGGUUUAAGGAUUGAGUGGCUAAGCGAAAGUGAUAAGUAUCCCACCUGGGGAGUACGUUCGCAAGAAUGAAACUCAAAGGAAUUGACGGGGGCCCGCACAAG